rnacentral:lncRNA from 1 species
GUGCUUUCUGUUGGGAGCAUGCAGAAUAAAAGUCUUUAUCAGUCUCAGGAAAGGCUUUCUGUUGGGAGCAUGCAGAAUAAAAGUCUUUAUCAGUCUCAGGAAAGGCUUGAAUCUGUCGGAGAUAUUCAGGUAUUGAAAGUGGAUUGGUUUUUUUUUUUUUUUUUUUUUUUUUUUACUUUGACAUUUUUAUUUUGAGGAAGAUAGGGUUGCUGAAGAUCUAACCCAGCGCCCAGGUCUACAAGGCAAGUGCUGUACAGCUAAGCUCCACCUGCCGCUCACAGGAAUAGUUUCUCAUUUGAGACAUGCCAUGUGUGUGUGAGCUGGCCUCAGUUCUGGCUACAAGAUUAUUUUUCCCAGCUUGGCUUUUUGUUUUCUUUUGAGAAGCCUUUUAGUCAGAUUUUAAGAUCUCCAAAAAUAUAGAAGUUUAUGGUCAAUAUUCUAACUAAAAGUUAAGUGAAACAAACAAAAAAACAACAAGAAAACUCAAACAAAUAAUGCCCCACCCACCAGACCCUUAAGGGUCUUCUAACAGUGUUAUUGAAUCUCACUGAGAAUGUACAUCUGCAAAUUGAGCUCACCUGCCAGAAUGACAAGAAUCAGAGGGCAGUACUGAGUGGCUACUGCAGGCCUCACAUUGAAAUGUGUGAUGCUUUUGCAGAGUGUAAAAUUCGUGGGAUCUACUAUCAGAGGAAUUGGGUAUCCAGAGGAGAUGAAAGCAUGGAUUUAAUAGAUGUGCAACUGAAAAUUACAUUAAGGAUGUUAAAGAAAAGAAUGCAAACAGUACACUUUGAUAUAUAUUUUUUAAUUGCCUUAACUGUUUUUAGUCUGUUAGACUGGGUUGUUUGGACUAAUGCUUCAACUACUUCCUUUCUAAGGCCUAAGGCUUAGCUUUUCACCUUAAAACAUAAUGUACAGAAGUUCUUCUGAAGAGAUAUCACCUUAAAUAGAAACAGGGUAUAUAUGGGAUAGAAAUAAAACCCUGUAACAAUCACAUAGUGAGUUCAAAGACUAGGAGAGAGAGAAAGAAAGAGAGAGAGAGAGAGAGACAGAGAGAGACAGACAGACAGACAGACAGACAGAGACAGAGACAGAGAGACAGACAGAGAGAAUAUUGCUCUGUAGCCUUGGUUAUACAUUCAGAAGUGAGCAAUAUCUUUAAAGACCUUGCCCAACUGUCCUCAGUCAGUAGGACAAGUAGACUGAAAGCAGAGUGGGGUUCUGGGCCCUGGCUCUGGCAUACUCACACACAUUCACUGAAGCAAAAGACAGCAUUCGAGUAAAGGAAAUUGAGAGGACAAAACUGGUUACUGGAGUCUGAUUUUCUCUCAUCCCUUCCAUGAUUGCACCCUGUGGUGGUGAAUGGCCCCCGUUGGAUAGCUGGGCACUCCAUGACAUCAGUCCUGGCAGCUUUUCCUGGCCUUCAACAACAGUGAUUAUCCUUGUAGGAAAACCAUUUCUAUAAGGGUUAUAACAAAGCGCCAUGCCUCACACGGGUCUUCCCUUUUUCCUGGCCCCAGCCUAUAGUGGAAUCCACCUACUGACCCAGUCUCUGAUUCCCCAUCUGAGGCUGUGCCAGGAAACAAGCACUUAUGUCACUAUUAACUAAGGUCAUCCCAACUCUCAAACUCAUCUGAUGAGUUACCUUCAGCAGUAAUAUACAUUCUUAAGGCCAAGCCAUAUAGAACACCAGAGAAUUCACAGAGCAUUUUAAACUAAGGACACUUACCAGCUUACUCAAAACAAGUUAGUUAGAACUUUUCUAGGGCAGUACAAGCAUAGAAACACUCUAAAGGGACUUCUCCAUUCAGAGGGUAUCUGCUUUCUUUUGCACUUACCUGGAAAGCAUCACUCCAAAUGUCAUCUGGACAGUGUUAUGUAAUAGUGCUCACAAUUAUCUAUUCAUUGAAGGAAUGACUGCUAAUGAAGAGUGUGUCCUAAUUCAGACUAGUGACAUGUUAGAAAAUAUGUGAAUAAUUUGGGAGUGGGCAAAUCUUUAAAUGAAACGCUGCCUACUAUCUGCAAGGUUUUGAGGACCACAUACACAAGCACACGCGCACACACACACACACCACACACACAUACCAAUACAUAUACAUAUCACACAUAUAUGUCACACAAACACACCCCAUACUACACACACAUGCACAUAAGUACACACACCACUACACAUACUACACGCAUACCUCAAAUGUACAUCAUAUCCACCCAAACACCACACACACACACACACACACACACACACACACACGUGUCUACAGUUUUAAACCGUUUGAAAACAAAUUAUCUGUCCUCCCAGUUUCAUAAAAUGAUAAUUUUUCUAAUAUAUAUACAGAUUGUAUAUAGGUUCUUAAUCUAUUAUCAAUUCAACACACACACAUAAACACACACC